UACGAAGGGGGCGAGCGUUGUCCGGAAUUAUUGGGCGUAAAGAGCUCGUAGGCGGUCUGUCGCGUCGGUCGUGAAAACUUGGGGCUUAACCCUGAGCUUGCGGUCGAUACGGGCAUGACUAGAGUGUGGUAGGGGAGACUGGAAUUCCUGGUGUAGCGGUGAAAUGCGCAGAUAUCAGGAGGAACACCGAUGGCGAAGGCAGGUCUCUGGGCCACUACUGACGCUGAGAAGCGAAAGCAUGGGGAGCGAACAGG
rnacentral:rRNA from 1 species